AUCAGACCAUGCUGCCGAGGACGAGCAUGAAACCUGGACGAGAUGCGAAACUAGCUGUGGACCGCACUCAAGCAGGACUGGGCCAGGUGCUCGGAGAAGUAGGAAUCACAGCUGAGCAUCACCGUCCUCCUGGCUUUUCCACCAGAGCAUCUGCUGCGUCCUAGGUGGAGAAGGCAGGAGCUGAGCGCACUCGCUGGGAAUCAGGCCAGAGUCCCCGCACCAAGGCAGUAGCACCGGAGAAGCUGAGAGUCUGGAGAAACAGAAGCCACAGAAAAGCGAGCUUGGCCCCGCACUGUGGCCACCCUGAGGCGUUUGCCAGUUCCCACCCUGCGUGCAGCCAGCGUGCAAGGAGCCAAGGAGAGAAUGUUGCCCAAGAGGCCACAAAGUUGAGCAGAGCUGUCAGGAAACUCAGGAUGCCAGAGAGAAAGGAGGGGCCCCCGAGGGGGAGCCCCGGGGGUGGGCCUGCAGGUGAGGAUUAACUAGGAACAGUCCUGUCCAUGAGGACACAGGUGGCCAAGCCCCUGAUGGAACCAGGGUACGCGGACCCCAUAGACUGCCUGUGAGAAGAGGAACUUCCAUGAAAGAUAAAGAUAACAUCAUUAAGACAACCUACAACUUUUAUACACAAUAUUCAGCACCCAACCAUAAGUUGUCAGGAGUCCUAGUAAAUAGGACCAAAGGAAUGAAAACCAGGGAAAAAUCGAAGACAAUAGAAACAGCCCCUUGGGUGACCUGGGGUUUACUGUUAUCAGACAGAAUAUUUAAAUAGCUGUGAUUAAUAGCUAAGAGAAGAGAUGGCAAAGAUGGAGACCUGAUAAUUUUUAAAAAGAAAAAAAAGCUAGAAAUGAAAUACAUAAUUAUCACAAUGAAGAACGCUGAGUCAGGCUCAGAAGUGACCACAGCAGAGCCGGGGCGAGAACGAGGGAAACAGGCUUGCAGGAAGGCUGACCAAAGAGAGGACAAUCCUGAGAAAUGUAAGUGAGAGCUUGAGAAACGCGUCACACGGUGGGAAGGCGUGGCAUCCGUGGAAAUGGAGUUCCAGAGGAAGAGGGGCAGAAAAAGGUCAGAAAUAAAAUUUGAGGAGGAACUGGGCAAGAAAUUCCACCAAACAGUGAAAACACGAACCCAUAGAUGCAAGAAGCUCUAAGAAAUUGAAGCUGGAUAAAGGCAGUGCAGGAGAAACACGCUUAGAUCCGUCUAGGUCACACUAGGCUGUGAACAUCACAGCUCAACACACCAAAACUCAAAGCAAAAGGAGCCUUCAGCACAGCCAGUGAAGCAGGAAGGGGCCGCUGCCUUCAAGGAAGCAGAGUCGUAUCCACAGCUGACUUCAAAAAAGAAAACAGUGGAAUGCAGAAGACGCUGCAUGGCGUCUGUAAACACGGAAAGAAAACGGUGGCCGAACCAGACGCAGAAAAAGAUCUUUUGAAUGAAGCUGCAAGAGGCACUCAGCCAAGUCUAUCCAUCGAUGUCCAGCACGCUACAGCCCCGAGGAAACAGGCGCGAUGGGAAAGCACCCGUGGUUGCUAACAGCAGCCCACCGACGCCUCCCCUGUUCUCGCUCCAGUUUACAACUUCCAGCCAACCUUCACCUUGGUCUUCAAGUGUGUGAAAUGUGCCUAAGAAGCUGUGUCUCUGCCAGGUAAACCUCUGUGGUGAUUCAGAAAUGUGAGGAAGAUGAACUCCACUGUUUCACCUGCUCCACCCGGCCGCUGAUGACCUUCCUGGUGCUCCUGCUGUGGACGGAGGCUCGGGGCAAGACGUGGCCCUGAGUGAAGGCAGAUGUCGUUUCUGGAGAUGAGCUGCCCCAGGAGGGGCUGUUGAGACUGUCUGAAAACCUUCUUAGCAAAGUCCCCAGGGCACAAGGGAAAGCUCAUGGGCUUUAGCAAUGACGCUUCACACUGCCCACUUCACGGCUGAAUGGCCACAGCACUGAACCUCCUUGAGCCUUGCUUUCUCCAUCUGCUAAAUGGGCACAUGAAUACCCACCUCAAAGACUUGUGAAAAUUAAAUUAGAUCAAGAACCUGAGGCUCCGGUGACAGUGCAUGAGGUGCGCUCGGCCCCCAAAUAGUGGGACUUGUUUCUGUCAUGCAGGCGCGUCGGUGCGUCCACUGGGAGGAAAGCGCUGGAAGACGGUGCAGAUCAGGAAAGAUGACAGGUAAUCUGCCCUCGCUGGUGGCCGGUGAGGAGAGGGGCUGGGUGCUAACAAGCAAUGUGGUAUUUCUACACCCUACUUUCUUCCCUGUGAGCUGCGAAGUUGGGUUGCCUUAGAGAUGGCACAGUCAUUAGCCACCAGCAAAAAUAAGCACGCUGCUGAGAAUUUAUAGGAAAACGCAUUUAAUUAAGUGCCAUCUGAGCCACCCACACUGAGAACAAGGAUUCUGGCAACAAGGGGGCUAUUGUUGCCAAGUUCCUGCCAAGCGUUGUUUUUCUAGGUUCGUGUGCUGGAUUUUUCUGACUGGGACCUGAACAAACAGCUCCAGACAGCAGCGUGCAGAGAGGAAGCUGGUCCCCAGACCAGACUCUCCUGGGGCCCCAAGAAGAUUGGGAGAGCCUUUAAACUAUUUCCCUGGAUGGAGGAAGGGCGUGGGCAUCACCGGCAGCAAACGAGAAGCAGGGAAGGGCGUGGCUAAGCAUCAGGGUGAAUUCUUACCUCUGCUGCGCCCCCAGCCCACAGGCCCCGGCAGAGCACCAGCUCUCGCCACAUGCCAGGCCCCUCGUGCGUUCACCUUCAGUCCUCACCACAGCCCAUGACCGGCACGCUUCACCCUCAGCUUCUAGGACGCGGAUGCCCACCCUCAGAGACGUUUGAGAGCUGGCCUGUGAGCACGGAGCUGCAAAUCAGUGACAGAGCUGGGCUCCGCGCAGGGCUGGCCUGCAGUCAAAGGCCAUGGACCACUGCUGCACUGAGGCCCGGGCAGAGUCCUGAAAAGUCCACCUUGACAUGAAUAGGUGAUGAAAAAAUCAACACGUAAGAUUAAGCCCAGCCAAUCGGGAAAGACAAGACAAUCUGAGAAUACAGGGCAAGGAACACAGAUGGCUCCUCCCGUGUUGGGAAAUCACAGGACAGUCUGUGCAGUGAAGAAGUGUGGUGUCCCAGGGCCAGAGUGGCACUGCACGCCAUCCCCGAGGGCCCCAUGUUUGAUGCGGCCCCGUCCUUCGGGGACAAGCAUCCCCACGCGCGCCUCUAAAGCCUCUCGCAGCCUCAUGGAGUGCUGUGGUUGGUGCACGCAUCUUUCUCCUUAGCUGGUGGAAAAUGUGAGCGUGCAAGCUGCAAGUGUAAAUGUGAAAUCCGUUUAAUCCCCUGACCCCCUGGAGAAGGGAAUGGCAACCCGCUCCAGUGUUCUUGCCUGGAGAAUCCCAGGGACAGAGGAGCCUAGCGGGCCACCGUCCAGGGAGCACAAGCAGGGAUAAUUUUCCCCUAGAUGUCGGGUGGGACGCUGAACAGAGACAGCGACAGAGGCCUUGUUUUCAUGAGUCACUGAGACAGAAGACACUGGUGUGCCGAUGUGCAGGUGCGUCAGCGGGGGCUGCGCUGGCCAGCUCCACGCAGGGUCCCACCCCAUCUAGGCCUGUCGUCCUGAACCGGAGGCUCCUCCUUCACUCCCAAAUGUCUCUACGGCACUGGGAAGACUGUUCAGUUUCUCCUUAGUGUCUUCAGUUUUUUCACCCUUUCUGCCUUCGCAUUCAGAAUGCCCACGUCUGGAGGACUUAAAGGCAACUGGGGCAGACUGGACCCUCACCCAGGCCCCCUUCACUCUGCAGCCCAGAAUCACGUCUGGUCAGAGACUCAGACAAUCAAACAGUUAGCUUCCAAACAGUUUAAGUUCAAUAGAUCCAAAUGUCCAAAAACAUUCUCACCUGGGUGCCCCCCCCACCCGUUUCAGUGACACCCCAGGGCAUCCCGCAGCCGAGUCAACUGGAGACCAAGGUCAUCUCUCCUAUGUCCUUCUGGGUCCCUCUCUGCCUCCAUCAGCGCCCAGGUUCCGCCAAGCCCCCCUUUGGAUGUUUCCAGCUUCCUCUCCAUCUCCAGGACCACUUGGAGCUCACCUCUGCCUCACUCCUGUGAAUAAUGAGGUUGUCACAGGUCCAGACGUCACGUUAUGGCCUGAUGGAAACCCAGACCCCAACCCUCCCUGUGGCCAUGAAGAGCCAGAGGAGCCACGGAAGGCUGCCAGCACCUCUUCAAGCACAAGCGUCUUAAUGAAGAAACUGUAGCUGCCUUUUCGCCAGAGACUCAGAUACACACCCAGGACGGGGCAGGGGGGCAGUGGCGCUGUGUGAGUUAGAGGGCGGGUUCAUGCUUAGGGGAUGGCGCAGAGUCCCUGGAGGAAGCUCCUGACCCCCAGGAGGAGGACUGACCAGGGGAAGCCCCGUGUGGGACAGACGGGCCUGCACUGGGGACCGCGUGUCAGACAAGCUGCUUCCCUCCUCCCGGAGCUGGUCACUGGGAACAGGCCUGUCCAGGCAUGUGGGGAAAGCACACAAAGCCUGCUGAGCUCAGAUAAGAGUCUGAAUGUGUGGAAAACAGCCAAUGAGUGGCAUCUCCUCAACCCCCAGUGAUCUCAGCUGUCUCAGCUCCCUGCGGUCAGCGAGAGCCGGGCAGCCGGGCCCCCAGCAGAGGACCGCCGAGCGCGGGGAGCGCCUGGCAACAGACUGGGGGAGUCCGGCUUGCUCCUGCCAGGAGUACUCUUGGGAGGACAAACUGGGUCAAGAGGAAACACACCUUCCCCAGUCCCACACGGACAGCGAGCUGACGGUCAGUAAGCAUGUGGGCGUUUGCAUAAGCAGGCUUUUGUAAAAUGCUCGAUGAACAGCUCAGGAUUUUCAGUGAAGAGGCUGGAACUCUGAAGAGACAACUGGCUGGCUUUUAGUUUCCCGUGAGUGUCUUUAGCCCUUCACCCUGUCUGCCUUUGCUUUUAAAACGACCAUGUCCGAGGAACUUAAGGGCAACUGGGGCAGACUGGACCCUCACCCAGGCCCCCUCCUCUCUGCAGCCCAGAGUUAGGUCUGGUCAGAGACUCAGUCAGGAGACUUGGGGGCCUCUCCCCAGCUCUCCCGCCGGCCAGCGCCGCCGCCCCAGGCCGGAUGCCUGGCCCCUGCGGCUGCAGGCACACCAUGCGGCCUAGAGGGCACAUGCCUGCUUCAUGAGUCUUCUGCUUCAAGAGUCGCCGAGGAACCCCUGAGGACCAAGGCCAUCUUCUGCUUCAAGAGUCGCCGAGGAACCCCUGAGGACCAAGGCCACUAGCUGUGCCAGUGAGGGGAGAGGACUGUGCCCACCCGCAUGGGUGGGGCUCGUUGCCCACCACGAGGCUCCCGGCUGUGUGCUGGAGGUGUCUCAGAGGCAUGGACGUCACAGACCCUGGGCGCCCACAGGCCACCGCACUUGAUCCCUGAUGGUGUAGAGCAGACGGUGAGGUCCAGGCUAAGGGUUCCUUCCCGGGUUUCCGGGGCCAGAAGGCAGCGGGACCCACAGCCCAGUGGGUGAGUCAGUCUCUAGGCAGCGGCCACUGGCCAUGCAGGGCCCAGGCCUGUCCGGGGGCCCUUGGUGCCUCCUGCACACGCCUGGUCCCCAGGCCCCGCUGGUCCACCUGGAGCCGCACUGCGAUCCCGGAACUGGGGUGGGAGAGGGUGCCUCUCACUUACGCCUCCCUCCCCUCUUGUCUAACCCCUCCCAUGACUUCCUGUCUUGGUUUCUGUCCAAAGUGUGUUUCUCAGGCUGUAAAUUGAGAAGGAACAAAGGGCAUCAGGAAUGACGAGAAGUCAGCGUGUAGAUCCUCCGAUCGGCUCUGGGAGAGCACUGAAUAUAGAUCCUCCGAUCGACUCUGGGUGGGGACUGAGCCUCUUUCACCGUUGCACAGAAAGGGCCAGGCUCCCCAACCUCCCCAUCACCUGCCGUCAGCAGUGAGCACACAGCCUCCCUCUGCUGACCACAUCCGGGGUCUGGAGGCCCUGCGGCCGGGAAGUCCGCCAGCCCUUCCACUGGACACGUCCUCAACUCUGCCCCUGGGGGAUGGGAGGCUCACAACCCUCCUCAGAAAACAGGACUCUGAGUGGCCCACCAAACAGUUCAACAUCAUUGAACUGUCGAUGGGCCGGGAGAGCCCAAGGGGACUAUCAGAGCCGGGGAGGAGCCCUCUCCCCCUGAUUACAGAACAGCCAGGAGCGCGUGGGCCCAGGAGGAGAGGGUUUGCUCCCCAGACGCCAGCGCAGCACGAAGGGGCCGCGAUCAAGACGGCAAGACGUGGGGGAGAAGAGGAGACAGACCCGCCGGGCAGAAUGAAGCGCCGAUCAGACCCCUGCACACGCGAGACAGGCUCACAUCCGACAGAAGCUGGAUUUAAAAUCAGAAGCGAAGACAGAUUAUUUAGUAAAGAGCUUCAUUCCCAAAUCGCAUCUUACAGCAAAAGAAGCUUUGAAUGGAAUACAGAGAGUUAUGUACAGAAAGACUAAAAAGCCACACAGCUGAAUGCUGACCUGUCCCAGCUGAAGGCUGACCUGUCCCAGCUGAAUGCUGACCUGAUCCCUAGUAGGGACAGUGGCCCUGAGAGAAGUCACAAAAAAACGCAAUCGUGAAAGACCGGUGUGCAGGACUGUGUGAGCAUCCGAAAGUUUCUGCAUUAAGAAGAGCACUGGUUAAAGUGAGAAAUGAACAAUAAACCAGGAGGCAAGAGCUUAACAUGACAGGCAAGUGGUUAACAUUCCAGGUCAAGCUCUGAAUAAACCAGACUGUAUCACUAGCUGUGUGAGCGUGUGUGGCUGAUUGAACCUUCAUAAGCUUGUAUCACUUUAAUGGGGAUAAUAAUUGAUUAGCCCUCAGCAGACAGUGAGGAUCAAAAGAG
ensembl:lncRNA